GAAAAACUAAUUUGUCAAAGUUUUCUGGAGCUGUCACUCCCAGAAUGAAAGUGUGUGUGUGUGUGUGUGUGUGUGUGUGUGUGUGUGUGUGUGUGUGUGUGUGUGUGUGUGUGUGUGUGUGUGUGUGUGUGGGUGUGGGUGUGUGUGUGUGUGGAAGUGAGAGAUGAGAUACAUAGAGGUGAGGUGCAUACAUGUUUUUAGUUACAUCCUGAGUGAACCUUUGAACCUGCACAUAUUAGCAAAAGGGGUCUCAGACCUUCUGUGUAAAUGCAACUCAGAUGUAAUUAUAGUCUUAUAAAAAUAAUACCAUGCUGGUGGUGGAGAUAUUACUUAGAGAAACAGUAUGCAAGUGAGGAAUUAGGUUUUAUACCAUAGCGAAAAAGAGCAGUGUAAUAAAGCACUCGCACACUGUGUGUGUGUGUGUGUGUGUGUGAGAGAGAGCUGUUGUCGUUUUUCCCUCUGUCUCUCUCCUCCUCUUGCUCUCUUGCACAUCACUUUGGGAACAUCAAAGGUAUUAGUGUGGUAUUUUCAGGUAGGAAGCCUUUGGGGCUUUAGUGGUGUUUCUGUGGGAGUUUUUCAGAAUUGUUUUUAUCUCUCCUUUGCGGAGCCCUUUUGCAGUCAAACGCUUCCGAAAUGUCCCCAAACGGAGAGCAGCAGUGUGUUAAAAAGGCCUUCUGACAGCAACUCUGCUCUCUUCUCUGUCACGCCGCGUGACCGCUUGGUGUAUGCCUCUGGCACUGUCCGGUCUACUGCGUCCAAUAAUGCACCCUACAUAGACAGAGUGAGACAGAGAGAGAUAGAUACACAUAGACACAUUACACACAUACACAUCCGGACACAAGUUACAAGUUACAUGCACAGGAGCUCUGACAAAACUCAAAGAGACACGAAAUGCAAAGGGAACACACACACAUCAGUUUACACUUCCCAGUAGCCAAACAAGUGUGUCUACAUACACACUUUGAAUUCUACAGCAAAGUGCUUACAAGAGUGUUUGUGUUGUUUUGCUCUCACAAAAUGGGCUCUCCAAAUACACAUUAAUCCAUCUGUCCAGUGUAGACAAGAAAAGGUGGUCCCUAGAUUACCCUGGAAAUGGGUAGAGGCUGGAAAUGUGGAUCCAUGUGGCUGAUAACAAAUGUUUACCUGUUGGACGGUUCAGCAUUGUGCCAAACCAGCCAAGCAGUCAACACUGCUAUGGGAAGCCAAGAAAAACCCAUUUAUUUUAAUGAAAACAGAGACAGAAAGAUGCACACACAGGAUAAGAAAGAGGAGUUUAAAGCAAAGAAUAAUAGAUGUAGAGAUGAAAUAGUGAAGGUGCUAUGAUCAGGAGAAGACCUUUCUGCUUGUGAAUGUUUGUCCUA